rnacentral:rRNA from 1 species
AUUGAACGCUGGCGGCAGGCCUAACACAUGCAAGUCGAGCGGAGCGGCGGACGGGUGAGUAAUGCCUACGAAUCUGCCUGGUAGUGGGGGCUAACGUCCGUAAACGGGCGCUAAUCCCGUAUACUAUCAGCUGAGCCUAGUUCGGAUUAGCUAGUUGGUGGGGUAAAGGCUUACCAAGGCGACGAUCCGUAACUGGUAUGAGAGGCGGAUCAGUCAAACGGGAACGGGGACACGGUCCGACUUCCUACGGAAGGCAGCAGUGGGGAAUAUUGGAAAAGGGGCGAAAGCCUGAGCCAGCCAUGCCGCGGGUGGGAAGAAGGUCUUCGGAUUGUAAAGCACUUUAAGUUGGGAGGCGUUACCAACAGAGUAAGCACCGGCUAACUUCGUGCCAGCAGCCGCGGUAAUUC